rnacentral:rRNA from 1 species
CCUACGGGAGGCAGCAGUAGGGAAUCUUCGGCAAUGGACGCAAGUCUGACCGAGCAACGCCGCGUGAGUGAAGACGGUUUUCGGAUUGUAAAGCUCUGUUGUAGGGGAAGAACGUGUGUAAGAGUGGAAAGCUUACACAGUGACGGUACCCUACCAGAAAGGGACGGCUAACUACGUGCCAGCAGCCGCGGUAAUACGUAGGUCCCGAGCGUUGUCCGGAUUUAUUGGGCGUAAAGGGAGCGCAGGCGGUUUAGUAAGUCUGAAGUUAAAGGCAUUGGCUCAACCAAUGUAUGCUUUGGAAACUGUUAGACUUGAGUGCAGAAGGGGAGAGUGGAAUUCCAUGUGUAGCGGUGAAAUGCGUAGAUAUAUGGAGGAACACCGGUGGCGAAAGCGGCUCUCUGGUCUGUCACUGACGCUGAGGCUCGAAAGCGUGGGUAGCGAACAGGAUUAGAUACCCGAGUAGUC